AUUCCUGCGAGGGUGUGUGUGUGUGAGGGACGGUGUCUGUGAUGGGGGAUUUACUACGCUGAGUCUGAUAUUCAUGAUAUUACGAAAUACAUACAUGCAGGAAUCGAGUUACAGCCUUAGAUCACAUAUCAAAAUAAUUACCGGUAGUACUUCCUGGUGGUGUUAGGAAUACACGUGUGCAUUCUUACAGUGAACCACCAAUAAUAAACAGACAUGAGAAAUGAGCUGAAUCAUUAUAAGAGAAAAUGGAACAAAAAUCGAACUUUUAUUCACCGUCCUUUGGGUUGCAGCAAAAGUGAUACAUAUGAACGGUUUGUUUUGUGAUACAGAGUAUGCGGGAUAUUGAGGACGUAUAUUACAAACCUUGGACUUCUCAGUACAUUUACAAAGGAGUCAAUCAAUCCAUGAUAUUACGCAGCAUUAGUUACUGAAAAGAAGUUUGGAACACCCUUGUGACGAAUCUAAAUAUUUUUCUCAACAUUGAAGCAACAAUAGUCUUGGAUAACUUGUUUUAGGGAAAGAAAACUGGCCUGAGUUUGUUUUUUGUCUGGAAAUCUGGAUCUUUUCCUUAGGAAAAAAUUCCACUAGUUUAGAAGUUUUGGUAGAAAAGCUUUCCGUUUUGGAUUUCUUGCAAUCAGGGACACAAGAGUGCAUCAGUGAUUUCUCUCUAUUGGAUACGCACGAAGCUUCUGGAUGCAGCGUUCUCUGUGAUUGGAAAAAUAUAUGACAAGAUGUUCCACUACAUACCAAAGUUUUGAAUGCUGAAGUAACUGUGCAAGGAUACCAUAGGAUCUGUCCCUGCGUGUUUAGUCUAAUAUACCACUAUUCAAUUCAUCCACACGUUCAAAAUGAAGGCGAGGGCAAUACCUGUGCACUCGAAACCAUCUCAUCAAACCUUAUUCACAUCAAUUUCAACGUAGCUAUUUAUGUAAAAACUAUAUG